CCUACGGGGGGCAGCAGUGAGGAAUCUUGGUCAAUGGGCGUAAGCCUGAACCAGCCACGUCGCGUGAGGGAUGAAGGUUCUAUGGAUCGUAAACCUCUUUUAUAAGGGAAUAAAGUGUGGGACGUAUCCUAUUUUGUCUGUACCUUAUGAAUAAGGAUCGGCUCACUCCGUGCCAGCAGCCGCGGUAAUACGGAGGAUCCGAGCGUUAUCCGGAUUUAUUGGUUUUAAAGGGUGCGUAGGCGGCCUUUUAAGUCAGCGGGGAAAGUCUGUGGCUCAACCAUAGAAUUGCCGUUGAAACUGGGGGGCUUGAGUAUGUAUGAGGCAGGUGGAAUGCGUGGUGUAGCGGUGAAAUGCUCAGAUAUAACGCAGAACCCCGAUGGCGAAGGCAGCCUGCCAAGCCAUGACUGACGCUGAUGCACGAAAGCGUGGGGAUCAAACAGGAUUAGAUACCCGGGUAGUC
rnacentral:rRNA from 1 species